GACGAACGCUGGCGGCGUGCCUAACACAUGCAAGUGGAGCGACGAACCGGGCUUCGGCCCGGGGCAAAGCCGCGAACGGGUAAGUAACACGUGGGUAACCUGCCCUGAUGAUUGGGACAACCCGAGGAAACUCGGGCUAAUACCGAAUGUGCCCUCCGGCCAUAAGGCCGCUGGGGAAAGGAAGCUUCGGCCCCCGCAUC
rnacentral:rRNA from 1 species